rnacentral:misc_RNA from 1 species
GCUUGAUAACUGGAACGACAUCGAAAGAGACAGUGCCCAUAUAAAGAAGCAUACCGGAGAUGUAGAUUAAAGGGGCGAAAAGGAAGAUCCCUUGGCGACGAAGUAAAACGGAGAGGAUUAACCAGGCGAGUCGCUGUGGAAAGGUCCGGCCCGGUUGCUGAGCUUGAGUGAAGCGGCCGCCCUUGGACCGAGAGUGCCUCAGCCGAGGGGAGCGGAGAGGCGACGGCGGCGGUGACGGAGUUGAGUGGCCACUGCUCGGCAGCCGAUUAUAUGGG